AGAUUGAACGCUGGCGGCAGGCCUAACACAUGCAAGUCGAGCGGCAGCACGGGUACUUGUACCUGGUGGCGAGCGGCGGACGGGUGAGUAAUGCCUAGGAAUCUGCCUGGUAGUGGGGGGAUAACGCUCGGAAACGGACGCUAAUACCGCAUACGCCCUACGGGGGAAAGGGGGGAUCGCAAGACCUCUCACUAUUGGAGCGGCCGAUAUCAGAUUAGCUAGUUGGUGAGGUAAAGGCUCACCAAGGCGACGAUCUGUAGCUGGUUUGAGAGGACGACCAGCCACACUGGGACUGAGACACGGCCCAGACUCCUACGGGAGCAGCAGUGGGAAUUUUGGACAAUGGGGGAAACCCUGAUCCAGCCAUCCCGCGUGUGCGAUGAAGGCCUUGGUUGAAGCACUUUUGGCAGGAAGAAACGGCGUUAGACUAAUAUUCAAGCGUCACUGACCGGUACUGCAGAAUAAGCACCGCUAACUACGUAGCCAGCACGCCG
rnacentral:rRNA from 1 species